rnacentral:rRNA from 1 species
AUUGAACGCUGGCGGCAUGCCUUACACAUGCAAGUCGAACGGCAGCAUGAUCUAGCUUGCUAGAUUGAUGGCGAGUGGCGAACGGGUGAGUAAUACAUCGGAACGUGCCCUGUAGUGGGGGAUAACUAGUCGAAAGAUUAGCUAAUACCGCAUACGACCUGAGGGUGAAAGUGGGGGACCGCAAGGCCUCAUGCUAUAGGAGCGGCCGAUGUCUGAUUAGCUAGUUGGUGAGGUAAAGGCUCACCAAGGCGACGAUCAGUAGCUGGUCUGAGAGGACGAUCAGCCACACUGGGACUGAGACACGGCCCAGACUCCUACGGGAGGCAGCAGUGGGGAAUUUUGGACAAUGGGCGAAAGCCUGAUCCAGCAAUGCCGCGUGUGUGAAGAAGGCCUUCGGGUUGUAAAGCACUUUUGUCCGGAAAGAAAUGGCUCUGGUUAAUACCUGGGGUCGAUGACGGUACCGGAAGAAUAAGGACCGGCAAACUACGUG